CUACGGGGGGCACCAGUGGGGAAUAUUGGACAAUGGGGGAAACCCUGAUCCAGCAAUGCCGCGUGUGUGAAGAAGGCCUGCGGGUUGUAAAGCACUUUCGGUUGGGAGGACUGCUUCUAGCACUAAUAUUGUUGGAAGUUGACGUUACCUUCAGAAGAAGCACCGGCUAACUCCGUGCCAGCAGCCGCGGUAAUACGGAGAGGUGCAAGCAGUGAAUCGGAAUUACUGGGCGUAAAGCGCGCGUAGGCGGCUAGAUCAGUCGGGUGUGAAAGCCCCGGGCUUAACCUGGGAACUGCAUCCGAUACUGUCUAGCUUGAGUACAGGAGAGGAGAGUGGAAUUCCACGUGUAGCGGUGAAAUGCGUAGAUAUGUGGAGGAACACCAAUGGCGAAGGCAGCUCUCUGGCCUGAUACUGACGCUGAGGUGCGAAAGCGUGGGGAGCAAACAGGAUUAGAUACCCCCGUAGUC
rnacentral:rRNA from 1 species